AGACCAUCCUAGCCAACAUGGUGAAACCCCGUCUCUACUAAAAGUACAAAAAAAUUAGCCGGGCGUGGUGGAGCAUGCCUGUAAUCCCAGCUACUCGGGAGGCAGAGCCAGGAGAAUCCCUUGAAUCAGGGAGUUGGAGGUUGCAGUGAGCCGAGAUCGCGCCACAGCACUCUAGCCUAGCGACAGAGCGAGACUCCGUCUCAAAAAAAAAAAAAAGAUUGUCUUCAUCCAAGCCAGUUUCCAUUUCUUGGACACACAUUGCUGGUCAGCCAAUCAGAUGCUGGUAUUGAGGUGAAAACAGAAACGAUUUCUGCCUCUGGAUUCUCUGAGAUUCGUGGGAAAAAUGGUAUCCCUAAAAAACAAAGCAAGACACAAAAACCUGACCCCGGUGAGAUGGUGCAAGAACUUGCAAAGUAAAAUGCACUUGGAAACUCCCUGGGACAUAGUGCAGUGUCUCCUGAGAGGUCAUAAAAGAGAGAUGGGGUUCUGUCAGGCCUCUGAGCCCAAGCCUGCACAUAUACAUCCAGAUGGCCUGAGGCAACUGAAGAACAAUGAAAGAAGUGAAAAUGGCCAGUUCCUGCCUUAACUGAUGACAAUCCACCAUUGUGAUUUGUUCCUACCCCACCCUGACUGAUCAAUUAACCUUGUGACAUUCCUUCUCCUGGACAAUGAGUCUCAGAAGCUCCCUUACCGAGCACCUUGUAAUCCCCCCCACCCCGCUGCCUGCAAGAGAAAAAUUCCCUUUGACUGUAAUUUUCCACUACCUACCCCAAUCCUAUAAAACUGCCCCACCCCUAUCUCCCUUUGCUGGCUCUGUUUUCAGACUCAGCCCACUUGCACCCAAGUGAAAUAAACAACCUUGUUCCUCACACAAAGCCUGUUGGUGGACUCUCUUCACACAGAUGUGUGUGUCAUUUGGUGCUGAAGACCUGGGACAGGGGGAAUCCUUUGGGAGACUGGUCCCCUGUACUCACCCUCACUCCAUGAGGAGAUCCACCCAUGACCUUUGGUCCUCAGACCAGCCCAAGGAACAUCUCACCAAUUUUAAGUCUGGUUCUGCCUGCAGGGAAGAUUGUGACAUAUUGCUGGAAACAACACCAACAUAAUGUUGCUCUUUUGCCUGGGACCUGCCCUCAAAAGGCAUUGUGAUAUACUGGUGGGCCAAGCUCGAAGGUGAUGACUGCCUGCAGGGGAUAUGGUGACAUUUUACUUUGCCCAGCACCAAGAUGACUUGAAUCUGCUGCCUUUGUUCUACUUUCAGAAGACAUUGUGACAUAUCGCUGGGCCUAGCACCAAGGUGAUGUGAAUCUUCUGCCUGGACCUGCUCACAGAGGGAAUUGUUACAUAUUUUUGACUUCAUCAACUAUUUGAUGUGACUCUCCUCUCUAACCUGGGCCUUGCCCAUAAAAAACAUUGUGGCUUAUCUCUGGGCCCAAAACCUAGGUGAUGUGACUGUCUUCUUAGGGUCAUGCCCACAGUAGAGAGAUGCCUUAUUGCUAAACCCAGCACACAGGUGAGGUGAUUCUUCUGUCUGGUCCCUGCCCACAGGGGUCAUGAUGACAUCUCUCUAAGCCCAUCACCUAGAUUAUGUGAGUUCUCUUUUUCUUCUGUUAGCUAUAUAGAAGAUUGUGACAUAUUGCUUGGCCCAGACCUCAUGUGAUGUGAAUCUCCUCUCAUGCCUUGGUCCUGUUUUUUUUUGGCCGUUGUUGUUUUGUUUUGUUUUUUGAGAUGGAGUCUUGCUCUGUUGCCUAAGCUGGAGUGCAGUGGCAUAAUCUAGGCUCACUGCAACCUCUGCCUCCUGGGUUCAAGUUAUUCUCCUGCCUCAGCCCCUGAAUAGCUAGGAUUAAAGGUGAGUGCCACCACACUCAGCUAAUUUUUGUAUUUUUAGUAGAGAUGGGGUUUCACCAUGUUGAUUAGGCUGGUAUUGAACUCCUGACUUCGUGAUCAACUCGCCUCUGCCUCCCAAACUUUUGGGAUUACAGGCAUGAGCCACCAUGCCCAGUCAAGAUGAUGAUACAUUUCUAAACCCAGGUUAUAGGCAGGUGAGGGUUCUUCUACCUAUACACACGUUUAAAGGGAUGUUGAAUCUCACACGUGGUCUCAGGGCCACAGGUACAAGCAUGGGUCUUCACCAGCAUGAAUAUCUCAGAGCAUACUGCGACUCUCCAGUGUAAUGUAUAAAGCUCUCAGGUGGGACAGUGUCCUAACAGGAUCCAGAACACAGAAAAGAUGUUGAUGCUCCUAUGCACACCCAGGUCACAGUAAAAUAUGUCAUUUUCCCACAUAAUCAUAGCCCAAUGUUGAGAUUCUGCAUCUCACACCUGAAAGAAGUUGAAAGAUGGAAAAUUGACUCUCUUAUAUAGAUCUGGUCUACAGGUAGGUUGGUGACAUUCAGAUCAAAAUUAAGUACACUUGUGAGGCUAUAACUCUUCUAAGAAGACACAGCUCACAGGAGCAACUGAUGCUCCUAUGAACAAAUCCAGUCCGUGAUUGAGAUUCUAACUCAUGUACUUAUUGUCAGGCCUCUGAGCCCAAGCUAAGCCAUCAUAUCCCCUGUGACCUGCACGUAUACAUCCAGAUGGCCUGAAGCAACCGAAUAUCCACAAAGGAAGUGAAAAUAGCCGUAACUGAUGACAUUCCACCAUUGUGAUUUGUUCCUGCCCCACCCUAACUGAUACGAUAUAUUCUCCCUCUGCCCUGAAGAAGGUACUUUGUAAUAGUCUCCCCCCACCUUAAAAAGGUACUUUGUAAUAUUCUCCCCACCCGUGAGAAUGUACUUUGUACACCUAUCCCAAACCUAUAAGAACUAAUGAUAAUCCCACCACGCUUUGCUGACUCCUUUUUUGGACUCAGCCCACCUGCACCCAGGUGAAAUAAACAGCCUUGUUGCUCACACAAAGCCUGUUUGGUGGACUCUCUUCACAGGGAUGUGCAUGACACUUAGACCCAACAUACAGCAGGUGUUGACUCUAAUGACUAGAACCAGGACUUAUGCUAGAUUGUUAAUCUCAUCCCUGAAAUUUUCUGCAGAUGUCAUUGGGACAUACACCUGUGCCCAACAGCUGAGUGAUUUGUCUCUCUUGCUUGGUCACAGCUCACAGGGGCCAUUGUAAAAUACUGCUGAUCCUGUUAUCCAGGUGAUGUGAGUCCCCUCACCUGCUUUGGCACUGCCCACAGGGAACAUUAUGACAUAUGACUGGGACCUGCACCCAGGUUAUGUGACUUUUAUGUUUGUGCUCUGCCCACAUAAGACACUGUAACGUAUUGCCAGUCCAACAUCCAGAUGAUUUAACUCUCCUGCCUGAGCUCUGCCUACAGAGAGCAUUGGGACAUAUCACUGGGCCUAGCACCUAGCAGGUGUCUUUUCUCUUCUGCCAGAGUUCUGCCCAAAGACGAGAUUGUGACAUAUGACUGGUUCCAACAGCAUGGUGACAUGACUCUUUUGUCUUGACCCUGCCCUCAGAAGACAUUGUGAC
rnacentral:lncRNA from 1 species